UGCCUGAAGUAAAAUUAAAUUCCAGGUACACCCUGCCCCAUGAGUAAAGCUUAAAUGGCCGCAGUAUUCUGACUGUGCGAAGGUAGCAUAAUCAAUUGGCCUUUAAUUAGGGUCUAGAAUGAACGGGGCCGUGGGGGACAACUGUCUCAUUUAGAUUCUUUAAAAGUUAGUUAUUAGGUGAAAACCCCUAAUUUACAAAAAAAGACGAGAAGACCCCAGAAGCUUUAUAAAAUUAAACUACUUUAUUAGUUUGAGUUUUUAGUUGGGGCGACUAGAAGAAAACAGAAACCUUCACAGCUGUAAAUAUCAUAAAUCGAGAGUGUUAGUUAAAGAAAAGCUACUCUGGGGAUAACAGCAUAAUACUGUAAUGUGUUUAUGACCUCGAUGUUGGACUAAGAAGAAACACGGUCAGCCCCUGUUUUUAUUAGCUCUGUUCGAGCUAUAGUAUCUU
rnacentral:rRNA from 1 species